AGUGAACGCUGGCGGUAGGCCCAACACAUGCAAGUCGAACGGCAGCACAGUAAGAGCUUGCUCUUACGGGUGGCGAGUGGCGGACGGGUGAGGAAUACAUCGGAAUCUACUUUUUCGUGGGGGAUAACGUAGGGAAACUUACGCUAAUACCGCAUACGACCUACGGGUGAAAGCAGGGGAUCUUCGGACCUUGCGCGAUUGAAUGAGCCGAUGUCGGAUUAGCUAGUUGGCGGGGUAAAGGCCCACCAAGGCGACGAUCCGUAGCUGGUCUGAGAGGAUGAUCAGCCACACCGGAACUGAGACACGGUCCAGACUCCUACGGGAGGCAGCAGUGGGGAAUAUUGGACAAUGGGCGCAAGCCUGAUCCAGCUAUACCGCGUGGGUGAAGAAGGCCUUCGGGUUGUAAAGCCCUUUUGUUGGGAAAGAAAAGCAGCAGGUUAAUACCCCGCUGUUCUGACGGUACCCAAAGAAUAAGCACCGGCUAACUUCGUG
rnacentral:rRNA from 1 species